GGUGGGUUGGUCAAGAGGUUAAGACAUCGCCCUUUCACGGCGAAGACAGGGAUUCGAUUUCCCUACCCAUCACCA
rnacentral:tRNA from 1 species